rnacentral:rRNA from 1 species
CCUACGGGAGGCAGCAGUGGGGAAUAUUGCACAAUGGGGGGAACCCUGAUGCAGCAAUGCCGCGUGGGUGAAGAAGCACUUCGGUGCGUAAAGCUCUGUCAGCAGGGAAGAAAAUGACAGUACCUGACCAAGAAGCCCCGGCUAACUACGUGCCAGCAGCCGCGGUAAUACGUAGGGGGCAAGCGUUAUCCGGAUUUACUGGUUGGAAAGGGAGCCCAGGCGGUAUGGGAAGUCAGAAGUGAAAGCCCAGGGCUCAACCCUGGGACUGCAUUGGAAACUGGGAUACUGGAGUGCCGGAGAGGUAAGUGGAAUUCCUAGUGUAGCGGUGAAAUGCGUAGAUAUUAGGAGGAACACCAGUGGCGAAGGCGGCUUACUGGACGGUAACUGACGCUGAGGCUCGAAAGCGUGGGGAGCAAACAGGAUUAGAUACCCCAGUAGUC